rnacentral:rRNA from 1 species
AACGAACGCUGGCGGCAGGCCUAACACAUGCAAGUCGAACGCCCUAGCAAUAGGGAGUGGCAGACGGGUGAGUAACACGUGGGAACCUUCCCUAUAGUACGGAAUAGCCCAGGGAAACUUGGCGUAAUACCGUAUACGCCCGAGAGGGGAAAGAUUUAUCGCUAUAGGAUGGGCCCGCGUCGGAUUGGCUAGUUGGUGAGGUAAUGGCUCACCAAGGCAACGAUCCGUAGCUGGUUUGAGAGAAUGACCAGCCACACUGGGACUGAGACACGGCCCAGACUCCUACGGGAGGCAGCAGUGGGGAAUCUUGGACAAUGGGCGCAAGCCUGAUCCAGCCAUGCCGCGUGAGUGAUGAAGGCCUUAGGGUUGUAAAGCUCUUUUGCCGGGGACGAUAAUGACGGUACCCGGAGAAUAAGUCCCGGCUAACUUCGUGCCAGCAGCCGCCGUAA